GCGGUACCGGUUCACGCCCGUCAGGGCGACCCGGCGACC
rnacentral:ncRNA from 1 species